rnacentral:rRNA from 1 species
CUCGGCAACGGAUAUCUCGGCUCUCGCAUCGAUGAAGAACGUAGCGAAAUGCGAUACUUGGUGUGAAUUGCAGAAUCCCGUGAACCAUCGAGUCUUUGAACGCAAGUUGCGCCCGACGCCAUUCGGCUGAGGGCACGUCUGCCUGGGUGUCACG